rnacentral:rRNA from 1 species
UACGGGGGGGGCAAGCGUUGUUCGGAAUUACUGGGCGUAAAGGGCGCGUAGGCGGCGCGAUAAGUCAAAGGUGAAAUCCCUCGGCUCAACUGAGGAACUGCCUUUGAAACUGUCGUGCUUGAGGCCGGGAGGGGGUAGCGGAAUUCCCAGUGUAGCGGUGAAAUGCGUAGAUAUUGGGAGGAACACCAGUGGCGAAGGCGGCUACCUGGACCGGUUCUGACGCUGAUGCGCGAAAGCGUGGGUAGCAAACAGG